AACCACCAGCGCCACCUUCAUUCUCUCCGCCGAGCACCAGCCGCGCCGCCCCUUAUUGUCUCCACCGAGCACCAACCGCGUCGCCCCUUAUUUUCUCAGCCGAACACUAGCCGCGCCGCCACUUGUUGUCUCCACCGAGCACCAGCUGCAUCCCUUCAUUCUAGAGGUACUUCAUAGAAAUCGAUCCUUUAUUACUCUUAAAAUUGCAAAAAAAAAUUAUUGGCAGAACAUGUCAAUCCCCUGUUUUCUUCCUUCUGCAACCUUAAACCUACUGUCCUACUUUUUAUUUUUAUUUUUGCAUAUUAGUUAUUGAAAUAUGUUACUUGUUAUAUCUAUUACUGAAUUUGUUUGAACUUGAAUUCAAAAUGUUUGUAGGGGCAACCCGCAGAUUAAUUGUGGAGGAUAAUCCUUUGGUAGACUUUGCUGAGUUUCCGGAUAAAUUGUCAAGGCCUUCAUUAUAUAUUGCAACAUUUUAAGUGGAACUGUUAGAG
rnacentral:lncRNA from 1 species